UACAGAGGGUGCAAGCGUUAAUCGGAAUUACUGGGCGUAAAGCGCGUGUAGGCGGUUCGGAAAGUCGGGUGUGAAAGCCCUGGGCUUAACCCAGGAAGUGCACACGAAACUCCCGAACUAGAGUCCUGGAGAGGAAGGCGGAAUUCUCGGUGUAGAGGUGAAAUUCGUAGAUAUCGAGAGGAACAUCGGUGGCGAAGGCGGCCUUCUGGACAGCGACUGACGCUGAGACGCGAAAGCGUGGGGAGCAAACAGG
rnacentral:rRNA from 1 species